CUCCGAGAAGGGUGGUUCCCCGGCCUCCUUGACAUGGCAGCAAAUUUAAGACAAGCCUACAAAUAUACUCUGUUUCAACCGUAGAAGAGUGAGGAUUUAAUUUCAUGAACCUGGUGAGAGUGACCGUAGAAACCUCGUACUUGGGCACCUGAGAAAAAAAGGCCUAAACAAUUAAGUCCAGAUCUUCUUCUUCAGCUUCUUCAGCGAGUCGUGAUUCGACGUUUUUGGAAGCGAAAAAUUAGAAUGCGAGCCGGGAAAUGAAU
rnacentral:misc_RNA from 1 species